rnacentral:rRNA from 1 species
GACGAACGCUGGCGGCGUGCUUAACACAUGCAAGUCGAACGGAAAGGCCCUGCUUUUGUGGGGUGCUCGAGUGGCGAACGGGUGAGUAACACGUGAGUAACCUGCCCUUGACUUUGGGAUAACUUCAGGAAACUGGGGCUAAUACCGGAUAGGAGCUCCUGCUGCAUGGUGGGGGUUGGAAAGUUUCGGCGGUGGGGGAUGGACUCGCGGCUGAUCAGCUUGUUGGUGGGGUAGUGGCUUACCAAGGCUUUGACGGGUAGCCGGCCUGAGAGGGUGACCGGCCACAUUGGGACUGAGAUACGGCCCAGACUCCUACGGGAGGCAGCAGUGGGGAAUAUUGCACAAUGGGCGGAAGCCUGAUGCAGCAACGCCGCGUGCGGGAUGACGGCCUUCGGGUUGUAAACCGCUUUCGCCUGUGACGAAGCGUGAGUGACGGUAAUGGGUAAAGAAGCACCGGCUAACUACGUG